rnacentral:sRNA from 1 species
UCAAGAAUGCACAACAAUGCCGCGAUCGG